GGCAACAAUCUUCCUCAACAGCAUUCAACCUGUGCUCCAUGGUAAUUACAUGUAAAUUAGUACUUCAAUUAGUCAUUUUUCCUAAUAAACUAAUAAUUUUUCUUAAUAUUUGCAGGUGUAGCAGUUGGUGCUGGUUGGCAACUGUCUGUUGCCUUGAUUAAUAUUGCCUGUUACUACAUCGUGGGACUUCCUAUCGGCGCAGUGCUUGGCUACAAGUUUAAGCUUGGUGUUAAGGGCAUAUGGUCAGGAAUGUUGGCUGGUUGUGUGCUUCAAAUAGUCAUUCUAAUUUUCAUCAUGCUCCGAACCAACUGGAACAAAGAAGUAAGUCUUUGUUAUCACAAUGGAUAAUGAAUAUCAAAGAAAUCAAUGUAGAAACCAUUACAUACCAACUAUUUGCUAACAGGCAAUGAUUAGUUUACAGUGAUUUUAUUUCCUCUUUUGCGAGCAUCUUCAAUCAUUUUAGACCAGGAUUAACAGAAAUAUUUAUUAAUGCAGGCUGUGCAAUCUGAGGAGCGGAUGAGAACUUGGGGUGGCUCUCCUAAAACUCGACAAAGUCCAUCAGAGGCCAACAUAGAUGAGUGAUCAAUACAUUGUGGAAACAAACCUGAUAAAUACCAAUAUCAGGUUGUAGUUUAUUAGAUUUUUAUUAUAGCCAAAAGGGCUACCACAUUUUUUUGUUCACUUACUUAUACUUUACUGUUCAGUGCUGCUGAUCCUAAAUAUGAGUAUCCUAAUUUGCAACUAUAACUGAGAUUUUUACAUAUAUAAAUUUAGACAAUGAAUGAGCACAUAACGAAUGACGAUUCAUUUUUUGUGAGUACUAGCAUGAUUAUCUGGUAACAAAUUGACAUUCCGGAAAUGUUAUCCAAAUUUAAAAAUUAUUAAUUCCUGUAAUCUGCAAUGGUAGCUCCAAGUUACAAGCACCCAAUUCAACAGCACAUGAAAUGCAAGGGAUAACAUGAAAAUCAUCCAAAGCUGACAUAAUCAUGAUUUAAAGCUCACAACAAGCAUACGCACUUAAACACAUAGGAAGUCUUACGUUGUAGUAACAAGCAGUGACAGAAAGACUUAAAUUGUAGCAACAAGCAAAUAUUAAUCAAGGCAACGAGAUUGCCAGCUGCAGCAACUUCACCUGCAAUUGUCAAGAAAACAAAUCGAGAAUUAGAAAAAAAUGAUCAUUGAAGAGUUUAGUUGCUUACUUUGCACCGCAGGUUGGAUAUGCUGUUGAGGAUGAAUAUUGCUGCCAAGAAGUAAUCAAGUUUGAUGCCUCUUCAGCUUUUGAUGCUGUUGACCAAUGUUGUUUAUGGAAAAACAGUUUCCAUUACUGAGAAUUUUGUUGCCUUAGGAUUUCUGGAUCCAAGUUCAUUUGACACCUUCCAGCUGCAAGCAGGUUGAUGCAUACUUAAACCGAAAAACUGCAGCAAAUAUGAACUUAGCACAAAACAGAAAAUUUCCCCUCUUUUCCUUCGUUACCAAAGUGAAGUUUUCUUACAAGAACUUUUUCCAACUUUCUUCUUUUACUCCCACACUAGAACAUUACAUUUCUUUAUUGAUAGAUUUGAGGCAUUUAUAACCUACAAAACAUAACUGGAAAUUCCUAUACUUAAAGCGUCAUGCCUAAGCCAUACUUAACUUUUCUUAUACACAAAAG
rnacentral:lncRNA from 1 species